rnacentral:rRNA from 1 species
GAGUUUGAUCCUGGCUCAGGAUGAACGCUGGCGGCGUGCUUAACACAUGCAAGUCGAACGAAGCGCCUCGGAUUGAUUUCUUCGGAUUGAUAUCUUUGGCGACUGAGUGGCGGACGGGUGAGUAACGCGUGGGUAACCUGCCUCAUACAGGGGGAUAACAGUUAGAAAUGACUGCUAAUACCGCAUGAGCGCACAGUACCGCAUGGUAUGGUGUGAAAAACUCCGGUGGUAUGAGAUGGACCCGCGUCUGAUUAGCUCGUUGGCGGGGUAACGGCCCACCAAGGCGACGAUCAGUAGCCGACCUGAGAGGGUGAUCGGCCACAUUGGGACUGAGACACGGCCCAAACUCCUACGGGAGGCAGCGGUGGGGAAUAUUGCACAAUGGGGGAAACCCUGAUGCAGCGACGCCGCGUGAAGGAAGACGUAUUUCGGUAUGUAAACUUCUAUCAGCAAGGAAGAUGAUGACGGUACUUGACUAAGAAGCCCCGGCUAACUACGUGCCAGCCGCCGCGGUAAUUC